rnacentral:lncRNA from 1 species
GCAGCGUUUUUCGUUUAUACACCAAAAAUAUAAUUAUAUCCAUAUUUAAAUACAAAUAUAGCCAGUAAAACCAAGUAAACUUUACUUCAUUUUUCUUGAAGGUUUGAUAGCAAGAACCCUGAACUGAGUAUUGCCAACCGAAUCUUUCGUGGUGUUAUUGGGCAACUAAUCAUCAUGAAACCGCAAGUCCGCCUUCCAGUGAGUUGCUCAAAAUAGUUUUUUAAACCUUUCUUUUUCUUGUCAUAAUAUUUGCUGCCAAAUCUUAAGAAAGAAAAAGGGAUUUCUUGGAACAAGACUGCUCUUUUUCUUUGUUCGAUUUUUUUUUUUUUUUUGGGUUUUAGAAUUUCUAUGGAGAGGAGUUGAGGUGUCUGAUUGAAUGGGACUUUGUGUUAGCAACGGAAUCAAGGGUUAUACUCGUAGCACAGGUACCCAUUUAUUCUUUUAUGUUGUAGUGUUUAAGUUUUUAUGUGUUUUCACAAUUAGCUGUUACUGUUUUUCCUUGAUUGAGAUUGAAAUCAGUCGCCUUCUUCUUAAUUUUUACCCUAAAGAUGCUUGAGCUGUUCCUUUUGUCUUUCCUUCGGUAUUAGUCACUCUAUAUGUUUGCUGUUGCUAUGGCUUUCACGAAUACACUUAAUGUUCUUGACAAGAAAUUUAAAUUUUUAGAUGUAUUGUUACUUUUUGUAAAUUUCAAGAUAAAUUUCUAAGGUAUGUAUUUCUAUAGUUGAUUAUUUGAUAAUUUCCCUUGGAUUCAAUCAGAAUUUGUGAAAAUUUUGUCAAUUUUUUGUGAUGAUUUAGAGUAUUGGUGUCUGAGGAAAAGUGUGUUUAUGUAAUUUAAAUUAUGAAGAUAUUCUUUGAGAUUAUGUAUCAUAUUGAUAUUCUUCUCUUCAGGACCUAUUUGACAAAAAUUGAUUAUUCUAGUAUGAGAGUUAGUAACUAGGCAAUGAGAAGGAUAAUAUUUUUAGAGUUUCCUUUUAGACAAUUUUUAUUUC